GCUUUUGCUGCUUGCUGUACUGCUGUAGUGUUUAUCGUCUGACUCCGCUGCGCCUGGGAACAUUUUGAUAACAGCAAUGGCGAUGUGCCUGGGCUGGCAGAUGGCCAGGGCAUGGCUGCUGUUUCUGUGCUGCUGUACUGGAUGGGCUGGAACUCCAUUGUGAACUGGAGUUGAAGGGACCGUGAUCUGCGGAGGAGUCCACGCGGGAGCAGGACACCCCAAAGUGUCUGUGGCCAUUGAUAGGCCCACACCAGAGCAGGUACAUCUCGAAGUGUCUUUGGCCAUGGUUAUGUCUGUGCAGCAGGAAGUAUACCUCUGAAGGGACUGUGGCCCAAGGAUAAGUAUACCUUGAAGCAGCUGUGGCUGUGGAUAAGUCUAUGCACAGCAGCCUCUGUCCAUCUGCUCUUAGUUCACAUCAGGCCUGGCUGAAAUUUGUCACCGUGGGAUGGUUCUUCGGAGGUGCAGUGCAAGGAUCCGGCUGGGAUGCCCUGAUAAGCGCUCGCCUGCCUAUCCCUGAUGCUGCUGGUGCCACCUGCCAGAUCUGUGACCAGGAUGACUAUUGCUGCCUGGCCACUGCUACGCAGGCAGGGUCUGCCCACACCCAGCCCUGCCUGUCCCUGCAGGCAGUCACUGUGUCCCCAUCCUUGAGAUGUGGGCAGCACUGCAGCCCCAUGGAAGGGCUCGUGCCCUGCUCUUCCAUUCACCCUCGUAUGUGGCAGAGAUAAGGAUGCCAGCCACCGGCGUGGAGGGAUCUCAGCAUAGGGGCUGGAAAGAGCCUGGUGCAGGCAUAGAUUUGCAGGUGGGUGGGGGUGGGGCUCCAAAACCUCAAGUCUGGUGUGAGAACGGUGAUUUGCUGAGUCCCUCUGCAUGCCAUCCUGGGGGGCUUUUAUCCCCUUCUCCAGCUGUUCUCCUUCCUCCUGGGGUUCAGCACUUUUUAUUCUGAAUAAAAAGCAGAAAUCCUC